rnacentral:tRNA from 1 species
GCCAGUGUGGCAUAGUGGUUUGAGUGUUGGACUGUGACUCUGGAGACCAGAGUUCGAUUACUGGCUCAGCCAUGGAA